UUUCAUUCUGAUUCAACGAAGGGAGCCGUUGAGACCUAGCUGAUUCAUAUUAGAAACUUCUAGUUAACUCUGCUUGAAUAUCUGUGCUUUUGCUUCUGUAUUUAUUACGGGCCGUGGAUUAUUAUUUAACUAGAUUAUUGCUUCUUUUCUUAAUUACUAAAUAUUAACUAUCGCCGAUUUCAUUUUGCACGGGUUUAAUGCCGGAUUAAUUUUUUUGCGAUGUAGGUACCUACACGUGUACAACAAGAAGAUCCAUUGCAUUUCCUGCUUCUGGAUAAGAAAGUGAAAGAGUGACGUGGCGUUAUUGAUUUAAAGGAUCUGUUUAAGUGUACUAAAGAAUUGAAACAGCCUGAACACACUGAGCUGGUUAAUAGAAGCAGCUGAAAGUACUCAGAAACACAAAUUAGUUCAGAAAAACAAGCAAAAAUUUUAUGUUGCUUGACCGCUUGCUUGCCUGUACCAUUUCCUCUGGCUCCAUCCUCUGCUAAAUGUACCUCGCUUCCAUACAGCUGUUGCUUUGAGCUUGAGAAAACAUUCUUGUAUUAUAUCGUGAAGUAAAAAUUAUAUCAUGAAGAAAAUUGUUACCAAGGAUUAAUAUUUUAAAGGAAGAUGGCGUUGAAGAGCUGCCUGAGAGAUUUUCAAAUUCACUGAGAUGAUGAGAUGAGAUUUUCAAGACACUGAGGAGUUGUCACAGGGACCUCAGUAUUGCAGGAAGCAUUGGUCGACCCUCCUGCCCCCGGGGACUAUCAGGAUCAGCCCAUGAGCUGACGGAGGCCGCAGCAGCCAGCUUCCAGUCCAGAAGAGUAACAUACCUCAUGUGGCAAAAUCAGACAGGCCUUUCAUCCAUGACCCUGUAAACGUUGUUAGCUUUACCUGCGCCUUUAGUCUACACUAAAUUAUAAUAACAAUUUACUCUGCUAACGUUUUGUUAGAUGAUGAAGAUCGAUUUGACAUCAAAUCAACCCCAACAUAUCAGAAUGUUUGCUCUUGGUAUUUGUGGAAAUUAAUUCCCGAUGAUAUUAUUGUUGAAUCAAGUGUUUUUCCUUGGUAACUGUACUUCUUAAUGGAUUGUUGGACAGAAAUAGUUUUAAUCUUUAUUAUGUGAUCGGACAGACUUGUUAGACUGAUUCGUAGAACAUUGAAUACUUAUUCUUUUUUUUUUAAAUCAAAGAUGGUUCAGCAGAUGGUCUACUUGAUGGAAGGUAGUCACCGUCGCCCAUGGACAUCUGCAACAUAAGGGAUGUUGCGGAUGCGUCGCCGAACUUGAUGGGAAGAGAGAGGAGAAAAGGAAGGGACAAAUGAAAGGGCAACCGUCUCUGUCACUCAUCGGAUGAAUCGCAGCUAUUAAAGACUGCUUCACGCUGAUCUUCUGUGAGAGGCUAGUACUUUCCCGAUCCCCAUGAUAGAGGUAAUAAGCGCCUUUAUGUUGUCAAGUUACUACAAACUUGACCACCAUAAGGUUCUUCUCUUCUCUUCGAAAUAAUAUUGUAAACAAAUUUUUGGAAAUGUUAGUUAGUGUGGUGGCAAGUGUGAAAUCCUGUUAUAAAUUCGAGUGAUCCUCCAGAUUUAGUCCUUAUCCCUUCGUCGACAUAUGACUGUAGUACGUAUUGGAUUCCGUGAAGUUCGGCAACUAUAUCGGCAUAAUCAUUUUCAAAAUCUUCGUUAAUCAAUGUUCUGUAAAUUAAACUUUGGAAGUCUCGGAAAAGGGUGAGACACAUCUAUUUCCGCUAGCGGUCUCUUGAAACGGUCUUUAGAAGAGCUAGGAUUACUAAGUGAGACUGAAAUUUGUUCAUAGAGUUUUUAUUCCAAAAGUUUUUAAUUCACUCAACGCAGACAUCCGUUCACUCCGACGACCGCAGCGCAAGGAUAUAGAUAGGGACAGCGGGAAUCUCAAUCUAUUCAU